CCCCCCCACACACACACACACAAAUUCCUCGCCUUCUUCCUUCCUUUCUUUCAUUCUUUCUCCCCAGAAAAGAUUCGUCCUGUUCCUGCCAGCCUUGCUUUCCAUGUGAUUUGAGGCGGAAAAAUCGCGGCUUUGUUUUUUCGGUUACCGAAUAAGAGCGUGUAUAGUCACGUUAAUGCUCUGGAGUGCAGAGAUUGGAUAUUUUACGAGUUCUGGAGCAAUAAAACUUAGGAUUUUGCUUGUCCAAAAAAAAAAAACUUAGGAUUUUGCGAUGAUUCGGCGAUUUAGUUCCAUUAUUCACUCCUGCUGCUCUAUGUAAUUUAGGGGAAACGAAGACUGCAUUUUUGUGUGCAAAGACUGUUGAUUUUUAAUGUUACAUAAAACAAUAUUUGAAGACGGUAAAUAAUCUACUGCAGGUUCUUCCUGAACCUGUGAUUGCUUGUUGCAAAGGUUGCGUAGGAUAUUCCAGUUACUUCUACUCGGUACCACGUACCAGUGUGGAUCUGAUGAACUUUGCUUGCCCUUUUUAUCAGCAGCGCCCUUUCUCAAGUCAUGGCCUUCAGUAUUUAUUUGUUCACGCACCAGCCUGUACCUUUCAGAAAUUAUUAAUUCGGCGGGCCUUUUGCUUGUUCCUGAUUUGGGGCAAAGCAGCUAGAAGGGCUACUGACAUGUCGGCCCCUUCGAUUCCAGCAUAUACCUUUCUUCAAAAGCAAUCCUUUUAUUCGCUUUACAUCAUGGAAAGUAAUUGCGUCGAUAAUUCUGUAGCCAGUGCCGUUAAGUACAGAAACUUUUGGUUGAUUGGACUCAACUCAUGUAUGAGGAAACAAGUUUAUCAUCCAUACUAACCAUGAUGGGGAUAGCUUAUCGCUAAAUGUGAACAAUAUGCCCGAACGACAGUGUCCUUUUCUCAUCGAACAAAUCUGUACCUCUAAACUGUACAUCUAAGACAUUUCGCCAGUAAGUAUCCCCUUGAAUCGUUGGCCAAUUUGAGUCAUGUUGUAUGUCAUUUAUUUCCUCCUUCCGUUACCACUGCAGUGCAAUGAACAAGCAACACUAGGAGAGUAGGAGUUCACGCUAUUGCUGUGGUAAGUAGAAUCUGGUGUCUAGUGGUGAGGCUGAGGACAUUGAUAAUGUCAUUUUCCUAGCUUUUUCCUCAUCUUUUUGGAUACCAGACGACACGGAGGACCACAAUAUUUGUAUGAUUGAGGAAUCAGGGCCUCUCUCAGCGUCCUACCAAAUACACCAGUGUGACCAGAACGGCCAAAAGCCAGUUGCUAGGUGUCACAUUUCUGAGCCGUAUUCUCUAUGCUGUCUUUUCUAACUGCCCAGUUUGUUGUUUUUCUUUUCAUGGUUUACAGCCUCAAAAAUUACUUGCAAAUAUCUAUUGUCUUUGGCCUUUUAGCUGUUUGAUUGUUUCUGUAGAGAUGACACUCUACAUUAUGUGUUGCGUUUAUAGUGAGACACAGAAUACCCUAUUGUCCAUGUCAGAUAUAAAAUGAGUAGGCCAGUGGGUUGAGUGCAAGGGCUUGUGAGUUGUGACAACCGUGUAAUAGAUAUCCAUUGCAGUGGGCAGGCAACCACCAAGUGUUUGUUAAAUGGUUGGUUCUGCUGUGUUGUUAGUUUGUCUUUUCUUGUGCAUGCACACAUAUAAGGACAUUUAGUAGGUUCUUCAAGUUAUAGUUAAACAGGCUUGGACAUAUUUUAAAUGUUUAAUUGGCUGCAAGAGUUUUUGAGUUCAGAGGCUGAGUAUUUCAGGACUAUGAGCUGGCAUCAAGAUCUUAAACAACAUAAUCCUUUCAUGAUAUGCUUUCGUUUAGUUAGUAAAACUAGUUAUGAAUUUACGGGUGUAAGUUCUUUGUCUCCAAGAGUAACAGAUUGUUGUGCGAUUUCUCAAGAUAUGUUGGUGUUCAUUUCAACUGUUGUUUGAUGUAAAUUUUCUUGAAGAUACACUAUUAUUUUUAUGUCUAAAUUUUAAAUGAUCUACUGCCUGCAA